rnacentral:rRNA from 1 species
GCCAAGGCAUGCUCAGUACGGCGAGUGAGCGGCAAAAGCUCAAAUUUUAAAGCUGGCACCUUCGGUGUCCGCGUUGUAAUUUUGUGAGGCAUCUCCGGGUAGGGCGCCGGCCUAAGUUCCUUGGAACAGGACGUCAUAGAGGGUGAGAAUCCCGUGCUUGGCUGGCUGUCCCCGUCCAUGUGAGGUGUCUUCGACGAGUCGAGUUGUUUGGGAAUGCAGCUCAAAAUGGGUGGUAAAUUUCAUCUAAAGCUAAAUAUUGGUGGGAGACCGAUAGCGCACAAGUAGAGUGAUCGAAAGAUGAAAAGCACUUUGAAAAUAGAGUUAAAAAGUACGUGAAAUUGUUGAAAGGGAAGCGCUUGAGACCAGACUUCGGUGGGGGGUGAUCAGCUGUCCUUCUGGGCGGUGCACUUGCUCCCCUCCGGGCCAGCAUCGGUUGGGGCGGCGGGAUAAAGAUCCCGGGAAUGUGGCUCCUUUCGGGGAGUGUUAUAGCCCGGGUGAAUGCCGCCAGUUCCGACCGAGGACCGCGCCUUCGGGCUAGGAUGCUUGGCAUAAUGGUCUUCAGCGACCCGUCUUGAAACCACGGACCAAUA